CGAUCCCGCGGAUACAGAAGUUGUGUUUGAAGUAUGAGCUGCUGCUGCUGCUGAAAACAACAUUUUUGCAUGGUUCUUAGCUCAUAGUGUGUGUGGGUGAUUUCCAUGAAAUAGAUACCAUUGACACAUUGAUUAUACCGAGUAUGCCCCUCGGCAUGAUCUUUCGUUUAGCCCACUGUAGAAGAUGAUCACACUUUGGAAGAGAGACAGUCGCUGUUCGACCUCCAGAAUUCCUGGAUAAUACGAGGGCUGAAAGCCUUCAUCGACAAGAGGACAUGGUUGCAUGACCGUGGCUCAAAACUAACAUGAAUAUUGGCUUACUCGUACUCUGGAGAAGGAUAUGUGCCCUUUUUGAUAGCCGAGAGGUAAGUAGGCAAUUGAAGCCUUAAUUAAGCAUGUAUUCUUCUAUCUACGAUAUUCUAUCCAUGAAAGGGAGAAGCUCAAGUCGAAGUGUGUACCAAUAGUAGAAGCAAGAAGCGUAGGUCUUUUUCGGCCACCGAGGACACAUGCGCCAGGAAGAAAAGCAUGAUCGUAUACGGAAACUGGAGCUAGAUCAUACAGAUCGUAAAAUUCACCAUGAAAGAUGCCUUAUGACCUAAACCUGACACAAGCUAAUGAAAAUGACUAUCUAUUUUUACAGGCGGGACUGAACUAAUACGAAAAUUGACCCUUAGGUUUGUCUUGGUCAACGGGACCGCAUAACGAUUAUGCUUUGAAAACGGCUCUGGGUCCGUCAGGAUUAUGAGAAGUUGUACUCAGUAGGGCUCUUUUGGAGAAGUUGAGUAGCACCCUCGUAUUCUAGUUUGUGAGUAAUCUGAAAAGGAAAGGCUGCUGGAGGGAAGGAUAGAAUGGUUCAGUGGGAUUUAGAAGGUAUGCCUUUUUCUUCUUAUUUACUGGCUCGGACACAGGAAUUCUCGAGGAAGAAAAGCAAAUGUCAUUUCUCAAUUGUCACCGCCUGGCAGAAAAGCUUUUCUUUCUUCCUACUACAUACGAUAUUCAAGUGCCUGUUUUCCUUGUUCACAUGAGGUGAACGUCCAUGCAGAGGAUACUUUGAAUACCACCCUUAGCCCCGUCCGUCCGUUGGAAUCGAUGGCUUAAAACGAGUUCUUCUAGCUUAGCUCAGCAGAAGCAAAGGACGAGCCGAAACUCUACCCACGAGGCUUGCUAUCAACCAUCAUGCCGAGGAUCUAAAUCCGUCCUAUCGGAUGAGGAGAGCAAGAGGGAUUGCACGACGAAGUAGAUCUGCACGUGGAAAGAAAGGGGUCAAGCGGAUACACGAUUCCAAAUUACUCCUUUCCGGCCAAGAAGAGAGGAUCUACAGGGUACAACGUAAAGUGUUUUGAUCGCAUUAGAAAAGACUAUCCAUACCGACCUAGAGUCGCCAGCCAUCGCACAAGCAGGCAAGCCAAGUUCCGAUACAAUUAGAGAGAAGCCAGCCUUUGGUAUAUUUGAACCAUCGGUUUUUGGAGAAGGUUGAUUAAUUAGAAAAGUGAAUUAGAAUAGAUAGAUUGUGCCAGAAGGAUGUAACUCGUAUGUCUUUUAAAGCUACUUGCCUUUCCGAUUAGGAGAAGCUUAUGAGAAAGAUACUUCUUUUUGCUCAUUAUGUCAUUUAGAUAGAAAGUACAAUGUUUCUUAUGAUGCACAAAGAAAAGUUGUCCGAGCGAAUCCAUAUUGGCGUGCCGAUACCGCGUCCCUACCCAGCUAGGGCUUCCUUUCACUCUUCUGGACCCAUGGAUGAUCCCCCUGAGGCCAUGUUUUUAGAUCUUAGUUUACCCUGGAAUUACCUAUUAUUUGCGUUCUAUUUCCGCUGGAAUUGGUGAAUGGUUCUUCUUUUUUCAUUCAGUAUAGCUCCGUGCAGCGGUGCUGGAAGGAGGGCUUAGUGUUAUAUAAGAUAUUUCAAUCAAGGGCAUGCGGGCCCUAUCAGAUCUCAGCUAACCAGACCUGGAACGUGAUAGGGACCUUCGGUGGAAGAAUCUGAUUCUAAGUUGCAUGCGAGUUUCAUGACUCUCUGGGUAUAGCAACCAUAGAAGAAGCGUUUUCUUUGAUCUAGAUAGGUGGGACGAAUCCAACUCUUUUUCCCGCGGACGAUCGCGUUGCAGCUCCUUUGGAGAGCGCUCCUAUGCUAAAGUAAUAAAUUGAAGACUACCUAGAUGGGAACCCUUGCUCUUAUUCGAAGUUCUGCUCGCGUAAAUGACCUGAGUGAAGGUGUUGAAAAACUCAUAUGAUUCCCGAUGCCAAGAGCAGGAAAGCACAAUACUGUCGUUGAAGCGGAUGAAGGAAAGAGUUGGAUGAUAAAGAUGGAGCCUCAACUCACUACGCAAUCAUGUUAAUGGAUUGGUUAGAUGCUAUUGGAGACUUGGAGUAAUCAGAUUCUAGGGAAGGGAAGCUUAGAAUUCGGUAGCAGGAUUUCAAUGUGGCACAAAGGAUUGUAAUUCAUGAUUGCAGACUUAAUGCCAGCUCACAACGGCUUCACUCACAUGAUCCGAGAUAAGCCUGUUACGGUGCAGCUGAAGAUAAGAAUAAGUCAAUCGCACGGACUAACACUAAUCCUAGAAUGCGCCAUAGGAGAGGCAAUUGCUAAAGAAAGUUUGAUUCGAUUUGAGUGUCCACUGAUAAUAGGUGCAUAAGAUAGGAAUAGGGAUGUGAUUGGCUCAAUUCUCAUAUGAAACUUGCCUUAUCUGGUAUCUCCUCCCAGCAGACAUGGUGAGUUGAGUCUCGAAGCAGCAUCUUAUAACUCAAGGUCUUUUAAAUAAAAGACGAUUACCUUUUUCUUACUUAUUCGUAAGAUUCAUUUCAAAUAAGACGUAUCUUGUUCAAGCCAAUAAAUAGAGCUGGGGUUAUAGUUAAAGCAGCCAGUAGAAACCGAAAUAACUAGUUAUAGUAAGCAUGAAAGGCCAUUUAAAGAAGGAAAUCCAAGGCAUGAUUGAAUCCGCCAAAGAGAAGGAAAUAGAUGAUCUCAUUCAUACUAAUCGAUGGAUAGAAGAUAUGAGACUAAUAAGAAGGGGAAAGAAGACAGCUUAGCCAUCUAUUCUAUGAAGCAAGGGAUCCGUUAAAGUCAAGCUACGAAGCCCCCUCCAUCUCUACCCGGAGCUGAUUUCAUUCCAGUAGUUUCUUUUGAAAAGAAAGGCGGAUUCUCUUUUCUUUCAAGUAGGCCACUUUUUUCCGAUGUCAGUGUUCGAUAAGAUGCCGCUUUCAACCCAUUUGGGGUAGUAAGAAAUAGCCACUAAGAUGUAUUCGUGUCCAUUUGAUGCUUUGGGUGUUACCUUUCCUUUCCCAACCUCAAUUCCUCGUCCAUUCCGUAUGGAUUCUAAACCUUGGCCUACAAGCGGAACAAACUAUGCCAGCUCAAGCUAGAACUCACUUAGAAGGUCAGGAAAGAGCGACUCAACAGGGGAAAGCCGGAGCGCCUUAGCAGCGCUUCACUGGCUCGCGUCAAGUCUUCCGCUCAUUUGGUAAACAUGCACAUCCUAACCCCGCGAAAUGCCCUGCAGGGAACAUCCUCCUUUAUCCUCUUAGACUUCCCCGGGCAUGGAAUUUAGAAUCCUGGAGAUCCUAUCACUUACUUCGCCCGGCUGAUCCAUUCUCUGGAUUAUCCCAAGGAGAGCCUGAUUCGAUCCUAAGGUCAAGUACCCUAUUUAUAAGUCGGACCCGGAGCUAAAAGAUAACCUCUUUCUUCUUAUGAAUGGAAGGAAACAUAAAAACUACGCUAAAACCGAGUGAAUGUAUGUCUUUUUAUCCCUUUCUUUAAUCGAGACUUUCAUACAGUAGCAACAACUCUCCUUUCAAGUGAGCUAGAAGGGUAUGUCAGAGCAGGUUGACAGGUAGGCUGGAACCUUAGGAGGUAUAGGUAGGCUUAAUGAAUUGGUAAUCGAUCGGGCAAUUCGUUAAACGAUAUCUGUAUUAUGAGUACCUCCUCUGAACAAUACCGCUCUUCUGGUAAACGGUCUGAAUCAGUAAAAAAAUGAGUUCCUUCAAAUCCAUCGGUCACAUCCGCCUUGCGAACUGUAUCGGUCAACUAUAGGAAACUGGCUUGGUAAAGGUCAACGGUCCUGUUCAAGCAUUGGCGCAUAGCGGGAGGCUAGCUCAGUAGAUUAGUUCUUUAGUUUAGGAGUGAAUGCUUUGCUUUCUUUUCUUUGAUCUACUCGUUCAUGAAUUCCAUCAAAAUAGUAAAUAGAAAGAAUUUCAAAUCACAAAUCAUACAUAAUAAGCAAUUCUUGUGAACGAAAGAGAUAUCCGAUUUGAGAGUCAGGACCUUAAAGCUGAUUAUGGUGAAUCCGGUGAUAAGACUGGCAAAGCUUCUUUGCUCUAGGUAGAGGCGGCUGUGCUUUUCAUUUUCUUUGAUCUUUCCGCGAGGGCCUCUGCUUUCCUCGAACGAUGACUGAGGAAACACAUCCAACCUCGAAUGCUGAGACAAGACCGGGCACACUUCUAUAAUAUAAUUAAUGUAAUAUAAGAAAAGGACCGAGAACUUUGAUACCAGUGGAGUGCGAUGACAUGAUGACAAGGACUAAUCGACCUUCUAGAGCAGAUUCUCGACCUUAAAGAGCAGAUUCUAUACUAGACUUGUGGCUUCAGGAGAUGAAAAGCUUGAUGAACCCCGACCCACUAGACCAAGUGAGUGAUGUUGCAUUUCGAGCACAGGCACCUUUGACCUAGCUUUCGACAGAGAGAGACAAAUGGGAAUGCCAGGCACAACUCUUUGCUUUGAAGCAUGAGAGAACGAGAACAUUUCCACUGCUUUAGUUGCUAGAACCCCCGCCUGGAAGACAACACUCAUCCCUUCCUUAAUUAAGUAGUACUAAUCCCAUUCCUUUAGAGACCUGUCCUUUCCAGUGGAAUAGCUUGCAGAGUAGAGUGAUUUCCUUGCUUCAUAGGUUUCAGGUUCAGAAGACUCUCUUCCCCGUAUACUGUAUUUACUAGUCAGGCCCGGUGGAGCAAUCUCGAAUUCUCGUAUAUCAAUGCUACAUGAAUGAUUCACAUAAGGGAAUUCCAAGUUGGUCGAAUAGGACUAGGGAGCUCGCUUCCAUCUACUAAAAGUUCUCUACGGGUGGGGACAAGGUUGGUUUACAGUACAGACAGUUUCCUAGCUGGCACUUGAGAAGUGCUCGUCUAGUUUAGUGAUUCCUAGCGUAGAACCCUUCUGUGUUGGAAUAGUUUCUAGAUUAUGACCUUCUCUUUUGAUUGAGUGAAUAGCCAUGCCAUGGAUUCUCUUUUCUGGGCUAGCUCUAUACCAUUUCCAUAGUAAUACUGCCUUGGUGAAUCCCUUAUCUUGUUUGCAGCAUCAUUCUCGAUCCCCUUAUUCCCUUCCCAAGAAGGAAUCAUAUCCUACGGCUAACUCAUCCUUAUAUGGCUCCCGGAUCCUUAAAGAGAAUCAAAGGCUAUCUCGAGGGAUGGUCAGAGAAUCAGUUUAUCUUCAGGGCACUAGACGGCACCUUUAUGAGUGCGUAUAAGCUUGCUUUAGAGCUAGAGCGUGCAUCUAAAAUAGUUUCAUAUCCCUUUCCAUCGAUCUUUCUUGGUGCUGUAGUACCCAUUCCUGCUAGCUUGAUCUGGUGGCCUUCUCUUGGCCAGGACUAUAUAUAAUAGUUUAUUGAGUGCUUCUUGGGUUGGUUCUCUUGAAGUGCAUAGCCCGUCCCCUUUUCUCUUUCUUCCAACGGAAAGGGUUCUCUUCUCUUCUGGUAUGGAGUUCGACUAGAGCCUGCCGCUUUUCCAGGUUUGGGUGUGGGUGGAUCUCAUAUCUUAGAGGACAGGGGGGGCUUAUUCCCAAGGUCAGGUCCCAUGCCGGUGGACUUGAAAUACGAAGAUCUUGAGCUAAGCUACGGGGCCGGGAAUAUACUCCAGGUUGGGAGAUCUGUCCUGCCAUCGGGCAUGCAAGAAGCUAUGUGCGCAGGGCAUCAGAGGCUUACUCAAAUGGAACAUACGAAUCCAACCUUGCUUGACUCUCUUUUUCAUACUUGCCCUCGGGAUCAGUGGUAGAUUCAUAACGUUAUUACUCAUGGGUAGCAGAUGAUGGAUCCAUUUCUGUUGAAGCAGUGGAGUGAAGAGGAGGGUUGGGUCCUGCCUCACAACGAGCCCGGGUAGCUAGAUAGGUAGAUAGUAGAUAGCAGUCCGGAUAGUGAUAAAAUCUGAAAAAAUCUUCUUCUUGAUUGAAAGAAAGCCUGUGCCGGAAAUAGAGAGAGUUCUGCUCUUGGUUGACAUAGAUCGCUCUACUCUCGAAUUGACAUACAUAGAGUUGAAAACAUACUCCUCACAAAUGAUCAUAGUUCACUACUAAUGAGCGAGUAACUACUAACGUUACGAGCAAAAAGACGAAUCUACUUGGUUCAUAUCAUAUGUUCUGCUCCGUUGACAGGUUCAUAUAUAUACCUGAUGUUCAUGGAAACAACAAGAUGAUAAUCCAUUGAUGGGAAACUCACUUUGCUAUGCUAGGAAAUUGACUAAUGAAACUAACAAGUUCAAGUGCUCUAGUCAAGUAGUAAGCUCCAGUGGGAAGCGCUAGUCCAGAUAGAAAGAAUAGACAGGAGGAUUGCCAGGUUGGUCUGCACAGGUGCAUAUCUGUAGGUUUCAGCACGGGAUUCCAGAUUGUUGGUACCCGAUGUUCAGUUCAUGGGAAUGGGAAUGUAGGAAACUCUCUCUUCCGUCCGGAACAUAUAGAUAGAUUAAUUGCUGUAGCAACAAGUCAACUAGAUCCAGUGAGGAAUGAGAACCUUUCCGGGGGCAAGGGGGGGCGAAGCUACUAGCUACUAUUACUAUUGGCUAUGGAUGUCCUAACACGAACGGAGUCUAUACGAGCAGAGGAAAGCGAAGCGUAUUGGUUGGUUCAGAUUUCAGAGUGCACUGGUUCUAUUCUAACUAGACUCGCAUCAUAAGUUUGCCUGCUUUAAAAUCCCGCGAAAGUACUACUGGCAGCUCCUAUAUGAGGUUGAUGCCACGAAGAUUAUCAUAUCUUCAUGAAAGGAAAAUGAAUGGAAAGGAAAAUGAAUGUGAUGUACACUAGAAAAGAUACCAAGCAAGAGGAUGUGCGCAACGUCGCGCUCGAAAGUCUUGUCUAUGAAACCAAACCCUAGUUCCGUGAGGAGAAAGACUCUCUUCGGUCGAGGGAUGGAUGGACUAGUGCCGUAAGGAUGAGUGAUGCUAGAGGGAAGUAGAUCAAUAGUAAACAGGAGAUUGCUUUGCGUAUCACGGAUCGAGCACACAAUAGAAUGCUCGAACUACACUCUCCUAGCAUCAGGCCUAUGGUCCAUCCAAGGACAGAGCUGUAAUCAGCGCCUUUCUCAGAUCUUCAGAUAGACAGAAUUCGUCGUACACGCUUAGCCAUCUCGCUCGAGGGAUCCUUCCCCAUAGUCCCGGCAUUUCUAGUUCCGGCUAACCAAGACCCUGAAGGCAGAUGUUGGAACCGCUUCUCGAACAGGAAUCACAGACCCAACUCAUGCUCUUGUUCUUUUUUACUCCGUUUUUUCGCAAGAUGCAAGGACAAGAAACGCUAGUUUUCAAUCAGGCCGAACUGUUUGCUUCUUCUUAACUGAGAAGCCAACCCAGCCUUAAGUGAAUAGUGCAAGCAUCUGCCAUCAACAUCAUUCCUAAUAGUUUUUGCUGAAAUAAGUGUAACUGCCUUGUACCCGCAGCUGGAGGAUCUUCUCUCUAUGGAUUCCUGAGAAAUGGAAAGUACCAUUCUAUACCCCUUCCCUAGCUUAAGCCCUAUAGACCAGUGUUGUUAGAGUCCCGGGUUGGUAGAGCUUGGACCACCGAUUUGAUAAGCACGUCUUUUCUGCCUUCGACAUGGAGCACCUCUUUUCUGGCAUAAGACAAUCUCUUCUCGCACCAGCCCUACCUACAUCAGUGAUUGCUCGAAAGAACUUAUUAAUAUAGAGGGAAGCCGCCUGGGCUGAAAUGCUAGGAAAAGAAGGGUUUCAAGUCUGCUCCCAUUCGGGAAUUGCAUAUUAGAAGAAGUGAUGUUCACUAGCAUUUGAAAUGGAAGAUACCGACUACUGAUGGAAGAAAUCUGGAACUGAGCACGGGCAAUAGCUGACAGAACGUCACAGACCACAGAGAAUAGGGCGCCCAUCUCUUCACUUUCUUAAAGCAAUGCGUAAGGCUUUCGGCUUUCACCUUUCUUUGUAAAACAAACCCAAUAUCUUGACUUCCCAAUGUCGCCAAUGUCGAUAGGCCGGGUACCAUCUUGACUUUCCAAUGUCGCAAGUCAAUCAGAAAAGGAGAAUCCGGGUACUGUCAACCAAGUUCAGAUAACCAAAUAAACCAGUAUAGUAUCUUUGGAUCAAUUGAGAAGCUUCAAGUCCGUUAUUAUCUCAAUCUGUAUAUUUUGCUUUCUUUCGCGCGGGAAGCGCAAGCCCUUGCUUGUGGGUACUGAUCGAGCAAGACUACGUCCUAUCUAUCUACACCUCUCCAAACACAAUAUCUUGAGUACCCGGAACCAUGUUCAGUGCUGCAAAAGCGCAGCUGUAGGCCCCUAGAAUCUUCAACUCCUCGUUUUUAUUCAAUUAUGAAAUGACUCAUUUUGAUGGAGAUUUGUAGCAUCAUUCAAGUAAAUACAAAUUGAGAUCGUAGAAACAUGAGCUUGUGAUAUAGCUACACCUAUUUCCAGACCGGUUAAUGCUAGAACUAUAAAUAAGGGACCAAGAUCUCCUAUGAAAUAGAAAAUAUUAUUCAGAAAUAGCAUAGUCCAAAAACCCACUUAAAAUCUUUACUAAACUAUGAC
rnacentral:lncRNA from 1 species